GCAUAUCAAUAAGCGGAGGAAAAGAAACCAACAGGGAUUGCCCUAGUAACGGCGAGUGAAGCGGCAACAGCUCAAAUUUGAAAUCUGGCUCUUUCAGGGUCCGAGUUGUAAUUUGCAGAGGGCGCUUUGGCUUUGGCAGCGGUCCAAGUUCCUUGGAACAGGACGUCACAGAGGGUGAGAAUCCCGUACGUGGUCGCUAGCUAUUGCCGUGUAAAGCCCCUUCGACGAGUCGAGUUGUUUGGGAAUGCAGCUCUAAAUGGGAGGUAAAUUUCUUCUAAAGCUAAAUACUGGCCAGAGACCGAUAGCGCACAAGUAGAGUGAUCGAAAGAUGAAAAGCACUUUGGAAAGAGAGUCAAACAGCACGUGAAAUUGUUGAAAGGGAAGCGCUUGCAGCCAGACUUGCUUGCAGUUGCUCAUCCGGGCUUUUGCCCGGUGCACUCUUCUGCAGGCAGGCCAGCAUCAGUUUGGGCGGUGGGAUAAAGGUCUCUGUCACGUACCUCUCUUCGGGGAGGCCUUAUAGGGGAGACGACAUACCACCAGCCUGGACUGAGGUCCGCGCAUUCGCUAGGAUGCUGGCGUAAUGGCUGUAAGCGGCCCGUCUUGAAACACGGACCAAGGAGUCUAACAUCUAUGCGAGUGUUUGGGUGUCAAGCCCGAACGCGUAAUGAAAGUGAACGGAGGUGGGAACCCGCAAGGGUGCACCAUCGACCGAUCCUGAUGUCUUCGGAAGGAUUUGAGUAAGAGCAUGGCUGUUGGGACCCGAAAGAUGGUGAACUAUGCUUGAAUAGGGUGAAGCCAGAGGAAACUCUGGUGGAGGCUCGCAGCGGUUCUGACGUGCAAAUCGAUCGUCAAAUUUGGGCAUAGGGGCGAAAGACUAAUCGAACUAUCUAGUAGCUGGGUUCCUGCCGAAG
rnacentral:rRNA from 1 species